UGCCAGCAGCCGCGGUAAUACGGAGGGGGUUAGCGUUGUUCGGAAUUACUGGGCGUAAAGCGCACGUAGGCGGAUUAGAAAGUUGGGGGUGAAAUCCCAGGGCUCAACCCUGGAACUGCCUCCAAAACUACUAGUCUUGAGUUCGAGAGAGGUGAGUGGAAUUCCGAGUGUAGAGGUGAAAUUCGUAGAUAUUCGGAGGAACACCAGUGGCGAAGGCGGCCUGCUGGUCUACAACUGACGCUGAGGCACGAAAGCGUGGGGAGCAAACAGGAUUAGAUA
rnacentral:rRNA from 1 species